rnacentral:rRNA from 1 species
GACGAACGCUGGCGGCGUGCUUAACACAUGCAAGUCGAACGGAAAGGCCCUGCUUUUGUGGGGUGCUCGAGUGGCGAACGGGUGAGUAACACGUGAGUAACCUGCCCUUGACUUUGGGAUAACUUCAGGAAACUGGGGCUAAUACCGGAUAGGAGCUCCUGCUGCAUGGUGGGGGUUGGAAAGUUUCGGCGGUUGGGGAUGGACUCGCGGCUUAUCAGCUUGUUGGUGGGGUAGUGGCUUACCAAGGCUUUGACGGGUAGCCGGCCUGAGAGGGUGACCGGGCACAGGGGGAUGGGGAAGGGGCCAGAGCGCCGAGGGGGGGCAGGGGGGGGGAAAUUGGCAAAAGGGGGGGAGGCUGGGGGGAGGACCGCCGGGGGGGGGAGGACGGCUUGGGGGUGGGAAACGGGUUGGGCCGGGAACAAGGGGGGAGGAAGGGAAAUGGGUAAAAAAAACCGGGUAAAUAAGGG